rnacentral:rRNA from 1 species
GACGAACGCUGGCGGCGUGCUUAACACAUGCAAGUCGAGCGGUAAGGCCCUCGGGUACGACGAGCGGCGAACGGGUGAGUAACACGUGGGUGACCUGCCUUUAGUCUCUGGGAGUAAGCCUGGGAAACUGGGUCUAAUACCGGAUAUGACCUCAUGACGCAUGUUGUGGGGUGGAAAGCCUUGUGCGGCUAGAGAUGGGCCCGCGGCCUAUCAGCUUGUUGGUGGGGUGANGGCCUACCAAGGCGACGACGGGUAGCCGGCCUGAGAGGGCGACCGGCCACACUGGGACUGAGACACGGCCCAGACUCCUACGGGAGGCAGCAGUGGGGAAUCUUGCGCAAUGGGCGAAAGCCUGACGCAGCGACGCCGCGUGAGGGAUGACGGCCU